AGAGUUUGAUCCUGGCUCAGGACGAACGCUGGCGGCGUGCUUAACACAUGCAAGUCGAGCGGAGACUUUACUGUAUUUAUAUGGUAAUUUCUUAGCGGCGGACGGGUGAGUAACACGUGGGUAACCUGCCUCGAAGUGAGGAAUAGCCUUCCGAAAGGGAGAUUAAUACCUCAUAAUAUUAAUUUUUCGCAUGAAAGAUUAAUUAAAGGAUUUAUUCGCUUCGAGAUGGACCCGCGGCGCAUUAGUUAGUUGGUGAGGUAAUGGCUCACCAAGACAAUGAUGCGUAGCCGACCUGAGAGGGUGAUCGGCCACAUUGGAACUGAGAUACGGUCCAAACUCCUACGGGAGGCAGCAGUGGGGAAUAUUGCACAAUGGGCGAAAGCCUGAUGCAGCAACGCCGCGUGAGUGAUGAAGGCUUUCGAGUCGUAAAGCUCUUUGAUCAGGGACGAUAAUGACGGUACCUGAAGAACAAGCCACGGCUAACUACGUGCCAGCAGCCGCGGUAAUACGUAGGUGGCGAGCGUUGUCCGGAAUUAUUGGGCGUAAAGGAUGCGUAGGUGGAUGUUUAAGUGGGAUGUGAAAUCCCUGGGCUCAACCCAGGAAUUGCAUUCCAAACUGGAUAUCUUGAGUAUAGUAGAGGAAAGCAGAAUUCCUAGUGUAGAGGUGAAAUUCGUAGAUAUUAGGAGGAAUACCAGUGGCGAAGGCGGCUUUCUGGACUAUAACUGACACUGAGGCAUGAAAGCGUGGGUAGCAAACAGGAUUAGAUACCCUGGUAGUCCACGCCGUAAACGAUGGGUACUAGGUGUAGGAGGUAUCGACCCCUUCUGUGCCGUCGUUAACACAAUAAGUACCCCGCCUGGGGAGUACGGUCGCAAGACUAAAACUCAAAGGAAUUGACGGGGGCCCGCACAAGCAGCGGAGCAUGUGGUUUAAUUCGAAGCAACGCGAAGAACCUUACCUAGACUUGACAUCUCCUGAAUUACCCGUAACUGGGGAAGCUCUUCGGAGCAGGAAGACAGGUGGUGCAUGGUUGUCGUCAGCUCGUGUCGUGAGAUGUUGGGUUAAGUCCCGUAACGAGCGCAACCCUUAUUUUUAGUUGCUACCAUUAAGUUGAGCACUCUAAGGAGACUGCCCGGGUUAACCGGGAGGAAGGUGGGGAUGACGUCAAAUCAUCAUGCCCCUUAUGUCUAGGGCAACACACGUGCUACAAUGGUGAGAACAAAGAGACGCAAAAUCGCAAGGUCAAGCAAAUCUCAUAAAACUCAUCCCAGUUCGGAUUGCAGGCUGAAACUCGCCUGCAUGAAGUCGGAGUUGCUAGUAAUCGCGAAUCAGAAUGUCGCGGUGAAUACGUUCCCGGGCCUUGCACUCACCGCCCGUCA
rnacentral:rRNA from 1 species